rnacentral:misc_RNA from 1 species
UUAAGUUCAGCGGGUAGCCUUGCCUGAUUUGAGAUCACGAGCACGGGUUGAUCGUCGACAGCACCGGACGGCAUCCCUGCCACACCCUGUCAUAUCACGACGAUCGCGAGCAAUUCGAGGCGAUCAGUGCUGAAGGCCCAUGUCGACCAACUGCACGUGGUGCAAUCGGAUCAGUGAUAGUGUGAUUCUCAAACAGGCAU